CUGGCGUCUCAAUGUAUGGACUGGGGAAAAAAGCACGCGUCACCAUACAGCGCCCUCUGCGGGACCACGCACCAAUGAACUUGCAUUCUUCUGAACAGAAAACGUACUGCCACGGCGACAGAUGUCGUCGCUCCCCGGUGGUACUGGUGAUAACAUCAUCUAUGCCCUGCUGUGUGGUGGGGCCUUCGUUGGAGCUGUCGCCUAUACGUACAGCACUGUGACCACAGACCACGCCAGAUUCACCGACCGUGUAGCGGAUAUCAACGCUCGUCCCAAGACCGAGUGGGUUCCCAAACCAUGGCCCCCCAAGAGCAGGGAUGAGGAAGAGGAGGUGUAAAAGUAAAUUGCCUACACGUCAGGGGACUUUAUAGCCUACUGGACUGUUUGGAUGAAUCUGAAAAGGGGGAAAUCUCUUCUACUUUCCUGCUACGUCCCAUACAUUCAACUAUUGUCUGUUUCUGAAAGUUUCUCUGCUGGAUUUCUCUCUUAUUUCCCCAUUUUUGAUUUGAUGAACUCUUGUAUGUGGCCUCUUCCAGGAUGGAUUAAUGUUAAUGGGUACAUUUUCAAAUUAAAUGUGCACAAACCACCUUGGUUGUCUCUGUGUUAUUGUUGGAAUUUCCAGGUACUGGUAGCUUUGAUUGGAUGGUAAGAUUUGCCAUCUUUAUCCUCUCACCCUCUAGCCUCUGACCUGACCCUGUGUACCUUCACUAUGUCACUUUAAUUUUGCCUGCCUCCCUCUGUCGUUUUUAUUCUUCUUUCCCUCCCUUUCUGUCUUUGGGUUUGCAUGUGGUUCUGUCAUGAAUUCUCCUCUGCAGUGAUUUGCUUUGCUGGGGUUUCCCCCUUCUAGGUGGAGUGUGGUAUGAGCCGGAGGUGUGGUAAGAGGAAUGGCAUGGGCAUGUGUGACGUGGUGUAUGAUUGAGUGUGUAGUUGUGCACACGGCAGCUCAGGAUACAGAACUAGAUCAGAGCUGUACAGAUCAGAUAUGACUUAGAAAAAUGACUUUAUGUGAAUAUUCUGUUAUUGUAGGUGUUAUGUAGGGUAAUUCACAUGCUCUGUAAAUCCACUUAUUUCUUU
ensembl:lncRNA